rnacentral:lncRNA from 1 species
UGGGAUCACAUGUGGCAUCCUAUGACCCUGCUUUCUUCUGUACACCCCUUGCCAACCACAAGUGGAUUGGGAAUGGGGCCCGUCCCCAGUAGCCCGUGUCUAUGUCUGGCAUAGCAUCAUGAGCUGGGGCCAAUCCUCUGCCUCUCUCGGGAAAAAGUCCCCCAUCAGACACAAGGAGAUGAGAGGAGCAGACACACAGAGAGCCCCCAUCACAUUGAUGGUGCAACCCUAAGAAGCUUAGGAUCCAGUCAGUCCACCUCGGAGCAGACCUACAUUUCCAUCCUGAGCCCAGAGAAUCUUUUGGCUGGAAACCAAAGCAAACCGAGAGCAGCUCAUUCAUAGGACCCCAGUUGACCACAUCCACAGCAGAGAAAGGGGGGCUGCAGCCCAUAGACUCGGGGCUAUGCCUGCUGCCAGCACAGGAGAAAACACACCAGGGGCUGGAGACCCCAGGGGUCCCCCAGAAGAGGGGUGAUGGUGUAUUUCCCUAAGAGUUUUUUCUCCACCAUAUUUCCUGGAUGUAUCUCUGGGGUUGAUUCCACACAUCUCGCCAGCCCAGAAUGGGGAGAUCUGGCCUUUAUGUGUCAAAGGAUCUAUGUAGCAAUGGGGUUCAGCUUCUGCUCUGCAUGGCUUUAGGGAUUGCCAGCACGUGCUCCCCUUUUUCAUCCCAUCACAGUGAGCUACGAUUAUGUUUGGAGCAAGCCAAAAAGAAGAGUGAAGCAGGCUGGGUCUGCAUUAGAAACAUCUGAAGUUCAUACCAUAGGUUAGUGAGGUGAAGACAGACCAGGUUCCAUCCUAGGCUAUAGGCCACAGAACUCAACUUACGUCCAAUAAAUGAUCACUGUGUGC